UAAGGGAAGUCGGCAAAAUAGAUCCGUAACUUCGGGAUAAGGAUUGGCUCUAAGGGUUGGGUGCAUCGGGCUAUUGUUGGAAGGGCUUGGACCCGGCGGAGACUGCUUUGGGCAACCGAGGUGGACUCUGCUAGGACUAGGCUUGGAAGACUUUAGCUGCUUUCGGGCGUCUGGUGUACAAUUAACAACCAACUUAGAACUGGUACGGACAAGGGG
rnacentral:rRNA from 1 species